GUAGUCCUGGCCCUAAACGAUGUCCACUAGAUCGCGGGCGGUUUGACCCGCUCGCGGUCGGAGCAAAAGUGUUAAGUGGACCGCCUGGGAAGUACGGUCGCAAGGCUAAAACUCAAAGGAAUUGACGGGGGCUCACACAAGCGGUGGAGCAUGUGGUUCAAUUCGAAGCAACGCGCAGAACCUUACCUGGGCUUGACAUGCUAGGAUUACCCCGAUGAAAGUCGGGUACGCGGCGCAAGCCGUGGAACUAGCACAGGUGCUGCAUGGCUGUCGUCAGCUCGUGUCGUGAGAUGUCGGGUUAAGUCCCUUAACGAGCGAAACCUUUACCCUUAGUUACCAGCGGGUUAUGCCGGGGACUCUAAGGGGACCGCCGGUGUCAAACCGGA
rnacentral:rRNA from 1 species